rnacentral:SRP_RNA from 1 species
GCCGGGCGCGGUGGCACUUGCCUAUAGUCCCGAGUCCUAUAGCUACUUGGGUGGCUGAGGUGGGAGGAUUGCUUGAGCCCAGGAGUUCUGGGCUGUAGCGUGCUAUGCUGAUCAGGUGUUCUCACUAAGUUCGGCAUCAAUAUGGUGACCUCCCGGGAGCGGGGGACUACCAGGUUGCCUAAGGAGGGGUGAACUGGCCCAGGUUGGAAACGAGCAGGUCAAAACUCCCGUGCUGAUCAGUAGUGGGAUCUUGCCUGUGCAUAGCCACUGCACUCCAGCCUGGGCAACAUAGUGAGACCCUGUCUCU